GACAGAGGGUGCAAACGUUGUUCGGAAUCAUUGGGCGUAAAGCGCACGUAGGCGGUUCGUUAUGUCGGAUGUGAAAGCCCUUGGCUUAACCGAGGAAGUGCAUCCGAAACUGGCGAGCUAGAGUACGAAAGAGGAUCGCGGAAUUCCCGGUGUAGAGGUGAAAUUCGUAGAUAUCGGGAGGAACACCGGUGGCGAAGGCGGAUCUCUGGGCCUUACCUGACGCUGAGGCGCGAAAGCUAGGGGAGCAAACAGG
rnacentral:rRNA from 1 species